AGAACGAACGCUGGCGGCAGGCCUAAUACAUGCAAGUCGAACGCACUCUUCGGAGUGAGUGGCAGACGGGUGAGUAACGCGUGGGAACCUUCCCAAUGGUACGGAAUAACUCCGGGAAACCGGUGCUAAUACCGUAUAAGCCCCUCGGGGGAAAGAUUUAUCGCCAUUGGAUGGGCCCGCGUCGGAUUAGCUAGUUGGUGAGGUAAUGGCUCACCAAGGCUACGAUCCGUAGCUGGUCUGAGAGGAUGACCAGCCACACUGGGACUGAGACACGGCCCAGACUCCUACGGGAGGCAGCAGUAGGGAAUCUUGGACAAUGGGCGAAAGCCUGAUCCAGCCAUGCCGCGUGAGUGAAGAAGGCCUUAGGGUUGUAAAAGCUCUUUUGGCGGGACGAUAAUGACGGUACCCGCAGAAUAAGCCCGGCUAACUUCGUGCCAGCAGCCGC
rnacentral:rRNA from 1 species